CUUCUUCUUUCUCUUCUUCGUGGGCGGUUUGGCGCCCUCAGUCUGAUCAGUUUCCUCUGGAAGAGUCUCGAGAUCCUCACCAACGGAGGGAUCGUCGCGAGAUCUCUUCUUGCUUUCUUCUUAGAAGCAGCGGCGGUGGCGCCGGGUGAAGAGUCUUGACGCUGGAGAGUCGCGUCGAUUGUAUCGGCAACCAGAAUCUCAUUAGAGGGUACCGAUGGCUCAGCACUCGACAGACCAAGCUGGGUUGCCAUCAUGGCACUUAGAUCAGGAAG
rnacentral:lncRNA from 1 species